rnacentral:lncRNA from 1 species
UUUAGUGACAUAUGUUGACAUUAUGAAUCACUCGGAUAGUUCAUACUUAUCUUUAAGGGUGUGUUUGGUUCGCAUUAUAAAAGAUUACUAGGAAUAAAAGAUAUACGAGAAUUUUAUUACUAUUCAUCCUAUUAUUAAGAAUGUGGAAUUCCUUUGUUUGGUUCACACAGUAAUAUUAAUUAGCCAUGUUAUUUAAUAUUACAAAAAUUAUACAAUUAAUUAAUUUAUUUAUUUAUUUAAUUUUAGAUAAUGUUACCAAAAUUUUCAACAUCUUUUUAGAAAAAAAGAAAGAGAGAGUAUAAGUUAGAGAGAGAGAGCAUAAUUAAAAAAAUAGAAAGAAAAAUAUAGUCAAAAUUAGAGGGAGUGAAAGAGUUGAAAUUUUAGAAAGAGAGAGAGCUUAGUUUAGAGAGAGAAAAAAAAAAAGUUGAAUUUUAGAGAGAAAAAUAAAUUUAGAGAGAGAUAUAAGGUUAGAGUGUAAAGAAAAAUAAUAUCAAUUAGCCGGCGGGUAGGAAGAAAGAAAGAUAUUAGAUAUAUUAUGAUUAUCCCAAUCCAUUAAUAUGAGGAUACCCAUCGUCCCUCAAGGGAAUGAGAUUAGUACUUUGGGGUGAAUCUUAUUCCCAAGUGAAUCUAAUAUUACCAACUAGAUUACUUAGUGCGUUUAGCCAAACACCGUCAUAUUUUUUUAUUCCUAUUGGAUUACUAGGAAUCUUUAAAAGAUAGCGCGAACCAAACACACCCUAAGAAUUAUCUAAGGUAUCGUUUGGUUCGGGAAUAAGCAAAAAGUGGCUAUUUCAGAAAUAGAUAUAAAUUGAGGUAUAAACGAGGAUUAGAUCAAUUUUGUGUUUGGAUGAAAAUUGGAUUAUUCCUGAUAAUAAAAAAAUAGCGUUUGAUUAAAUAAGAUGGAAUAAGAAUUAAAGUGAGUAAUUAUAAAUAAAAAAUAAUGGUAUUAUCCCUUUCUUUAUAUUAGAAUUUGAACUUUUAUAUUUUAUAUUUAUAUUUUAGAAUUUAAAAUAUAUACUUUUAAAUUUUAAAAUUUUAAAAUCUCAAAUUUACAAUUUUAAAAAAUUAAAAUUUUAAUUUUUAAACUUUAAUAAAUAGUUAUUAAUUUAGCCAAUAUUUUAUUACUAACUUAGUUAAUUAUUAAUUUAGUUAAUUAAUUAAUAAAAUAUUAUAUAAUACAUUAAUUAAUAAUAUUUUAUUAUUAAAUUAGUAGAGGUAUAAAGAGAAGAAAUUGUUAUUCCACCAAAAUGGUGGAACAACAAUUUCCCACUCUUAACGGGUUAUUCUAGAAUAACCCGUUAAGAGGGGGAUUAAAUAAACUCAUCCCCUCUUCUAGUGUUUGGAUGAAUUAGAGGGAUAAAGUGGUUUAUUCCCACUUUAUCCCUCAACAAGACACUGCCUAAGAGCUACGGCACGGAAUUGUGCUGAAAAUUUAUUGGUACACUACGACAUUACAUUUCAUUUCAUGCCGUGCCGAGUACGAAAAGUACUUGUGUGCCGACACUAGAGGUGGCAAUCCAAUUUGCUGUUCGCCAGCCAGUCAUGUUUGGCUUAAAAUGAGCUCAAAAUUAAUUGCUUGUUUAAUAAAACGAGUCGAACACGAGCUGGGAUCAGCUCGUUCGUUUUCGACUCAAUAUAAAGAGACUAAUAUCUUGUAAAUUUCAAUUAUCAAAUUAAGAUUCUAAUUUUCUAUUUUUAUCAACUUUUCAGCUAAUAGUAAGACUGAUGGUCUAACUUAUUAUUCGCGAGUUAGUUCGUGUUCGGUUCGUUAAUAAAAAAAUCAAACACGAGCUAUUUUUUUUAGCACGAUGAUUUAACGAGCUCACUCGUAUUCGGCUCGUUUAAUAAAAGAAUGUAAACGAGCCGGUCCCAGGUCGCUCGUGUUCAGCUCAUUGAUAGCCCUAGUCGACACACAAUAACAUUAAAUAUUUAUUUUAUGGCACCAAUAGAUAUAUAUCUUUAUCAAAUCUUUUAUACUUUAGGAUUGUUUAGCUGCAUGUAGUUGCCACUACACACAAACUUAUGCCUUGUUUUUGGUUUGGUGCAAUU